CUCCAGGCUAGAUAAGGUCUGUGCUCCUAAUUACACCCUUGAAAGAUUGUUGGCCAAGCCUUUGGCUGAAGGUGAAUGUAAGAAAUUCACCUUCAUUUAAUAAAAGGGGUUUUGCUGGGACAAAGAGUCGGCUUAGUGCUUUUGGGGGAAGCCGAGGUCAGAACAGGUUGGCUCUUGUUGAAGCAAUAC